rnacentral:rRNA from 1 species
GACAGAGGGUGCAAACGUUGUUCGGAAUCACUGGGCAUAAAGCGCACGUAGGCGGUCUGUUAAGUCAGAUGUGAAAGCCCCCGGCUCAACCGGGGAACUGCAUUUGAUACUGGCAGGCUUGAGAACGGUAGGGGUGAGUGGAACUCCAGGUGGAGCGGUGAAAUGCGUAGAUAUCUGGAGGAACACCGGUGGCGAAAGCGGCUCACUGGACCGUCACUGACGCUGAGGUGCGAAAGCUAGGGUAGCAAACGGG